rnacentral:rRNA from 1 species
UGUCUCAGUAUAAGUCAUCUUAAGACGAAACUGCGAAUGGCUCAUUAAAACAGUUAUAGUUUAUUUGGUGGUCAAAUUUUAUUCGGAUAACUGUGGUAAUUCUAGAGCUAAUACGUGCAUAAAGACCCAACUUCACGGAAGGGUUGUAUUUAUUAGAUACAGAACCAAUUCGGGCAACCGAUAUUGGAUGACUCAUGAUAAAUGAACGGAGCGUAUGGCUUGAGCCGACGCUGUACCAUUCAAGUUUCUGACCUAUCAGCUUUCGACGGUAGGGUAUUGGCCUACCGUGGCAUUGACGGGUAACGGAGAAUUAGGGUUCGAUUCCGGAGAGGGAGCCCGAGAAACGGCUACCACAUCUAAGGAAGGCAGCAGGCGCGCAAAUUACCCAAUCCUGACACAGGGAGGUAAGUGACAAGAAAUAACAAAGCAGGCCACAACGUGGUUUUGCUAUUGGAAUGAGUAGAAUUUAAAUCUCUUUAUGACUAUCGAUUGGAGGGCAAGUCUGGUGCCAGCAGCCGCGGUAAUUCCAGCUCCAAUAGCGUAUAUUAAAGUUGUUGCGGGUAAAAAGCUCGUAGUUGGAUUUCUGGUGAGGGUGACCGGUCCGGUCUUUGAGCGCGUAUCUGGUCAGCCUGCAUCCUCUGGGGAACGCUACUGUGCUGAUGCAUGCAGCGGUAUUCAGACUUUUACUUGAGGAAUUAGAGUGUUCACUGCAGCGUU